AGGGUGCGGUCCGCGCUGGGCGAGGCUUCCUGCGGACACCGGCGCGCUCGGCCUCCGCUCCUGGGCGCUGCAGUUCUCCCUCUCCUUGCCAGCCCAGAGAUAAAUAGAUGGCCAGAAAGAAAAGAAAAGGAGAAAACAUCUCUAGAGCUCUGCGCGGGGAGGACAGUAGCCGCGGCAACUGUGGUUUCUGAUAGCUAAUUAACACCUCAGCAUUACAAUUCUGCUUUCCAUAAACUUCUGUGCAGAAAUCUAGGGAAUCCAAAAGAGUUGGAGAGUGCUGAGCUCCCUGGAGUCUGAAGCCUGGAGAAACCAUCCGGAAGGCUGUAGCUAUUCAUCUCGAAGGAGCAGAUGUUGUCCCUCCCCAAGGAGUUAUUAUGGGUUGGAAGAAAUGAGAAAAUGAAUAUAAACAAGUUAUUUUGUGAAUGUUAUCAAAUAUGAUCAGCACCAACCAAACAGAGCUCUAAAUGCGAAAAAGCAAGCGGACUCAAUGUGGAUGAAGUGUGGAGGGGAUUUUGAGAGAUGAAGCUUGAAAUACAGUUGACCCUUGAACAAGGUUUUAUUCUUGGUGAUUACUGUCAUGCGCGUCCGUGUGAAGAGACCACCAAACAGGCUUUGUGUGAGCAACAUGGCUGUUUAUUUCACCUGGGUGCAGGCGGGCUGAGUCCGAAAAAAGAGUCGGCGA